GAUGAACGCUGGCGGCGUGCCUAAUACAUGCAAGUCGAGCGAACAGAUGAGGAGCUUGCUCCUCUGACGUUAGCGGCGGACGGGUGAGUAACACGUGGAUAACCUACCUAUAAGACUGGGAUAACUUCGGGAAACCGGAGCUAAUACCGGAUAAUAUAUUGAACCGCAUGGUUCAAUAGUGAAAGACGGUUUUGCUGUCACUUAUAGAUGGAUCCGCGCCGCAUUAGCUAGUUGGUAAGGUAACGGCUUACCAAGGCAACGAUGCGUAGCCGACCUGAGAGGGUGAUCGGCCACACUGGAACUGAGACACGGUCCAGACUACUACGGGAGGCAGCAGUAGGGAAUCUUCCGCAAUGGGCGAAAGCCUGACGGAGCAACGCCGCGUGAGUGAUGAAGGUCUUCGGAUCGUAAAACUCUGUUAUUAGGGAAGAACAAAUGUGUAAGUAACUAUGCACGUCUUGACGGUACCUAAUCAGAAAGCCACGGCUAACUACGU
rnacentral:rRNA from 1 species